CAGACGAUUGCUACUAAUAAACUAUAUGAUUUGCUCUGUCUACAGAAUAAUAUAUAUAUAGGGUGGGUUAUAACACCCCUUAAAACCUUAUUCUGAUAAUACCUACCCUUACUCUGCUAACACCACUAACCCACCCCGUAGCUACAAACUAACUACACAAAACAACCGAUCGGACUGCGCGGUAAAAAAAAAACCACCCACCCUGAGCCUAUCCUCUCGCCCAUCGUGCUCCUCCAUCCAAAAUCCCCGCAACUUCCCCCACCCAGUCCGCCGCCGCACCACCUGCCUCCUCACCCGGCCGCCGCACCACCUGCCUUCCCACCCCGCCGCCAGCCCGGGCUCGCGCCGGCCCGCCGCCUCUCACCUCCAACCGCACCUCCUUGCCAGCCGUCGUGCCCUCCCAGGCGCCCUGUCCUCCUUCCUCUCGGCGCCGAAGUGCCCUCCUUCCUCCCCAUGUCGGAGCGCCCCUGCCUCCUCCUUCCCGUGGCGCGCCGCCCCUCUAUCCCGCGAGCCGCCACCCACCCCACCCCUCCCGGUACUGCCUCCUAACGCCGGCGAGCACAAGUCCUGUGCCUUCCCUCCCCUAACUUGCCUCCCCUAACCUCCCUCCCCCACCGUUUCUCGGAUCUGCCUGUGCCAUGGCUGGAUCUACCUUCGACGUUUUUGGUGGAUCGCAGCUCGUCGAGGAAGACGCUGGUGGCGCGGAUCCUUGGUGGCUUGGGGAGGCUUGCAACACAGGGAUCCCGCGCGACAGGGUCGUCUUGUGCAACAUCCAUCCAGCAGGAGUCAGCAGUUCCAUGGUGGUCACGCUGUCUCCAAGGGGCGUCUUUUCCGACCCCGGCUGAGAUCAACAGCCACUGCGCUGCUGUUCGCUUGCCCGGCCUCUCUCUGGCUCUCCACCGUCAACGGGUGGGCGACAAAAAAAUUGCAGCCGCGCAUGCUGUAUCUGACGGCCAUCGAUGGUCACAUGUGGGACGAGCCCAACCGUGCAGUAUGCUGGAGCAGGAUAGAGAAGGACGGUGGUGUGAACUACUUCGAUGGGAGCAGCAGGGGAGUCGCGGUGGUGUUUCUGCCUCUGGAUGUCACAGUUGUGUCGUUCGGCUGUGCCCCAUUACGGCUUGGUAUUUUCCCUUUCUUGUUGAUACAUGCUUCGGUGCAGUCGGCUUGAUCGAAGAUGAGGUUCGGCUGGUUUGUGUAUGCUGGUCAGGGUGUCUUGUGUGUACAUGCAGCUCAUGGCGUGAUGUUGGUUCAGUUCGUUGGCAAGCGGUUCUGUAUCGCGGGCGUGCAGCUCACCAUCGUCAGGCUCGCAGUUCGUUUGGUGCUGGCAGGGUCAACACAACUGGACCCAGGACAUACGACUUUGAUUUCUUUUUCAUUUUGUUUUGAGUCGGUUUUAUGUAAAUUUACAGGGCUGUGUUUGAAGUUGAAUUCUCAUUGGUA